AUGGUUCUUCUUCUCACCCUCCUCACUCCUAUUCAAGUUAAAUUCACCUCUAACGUCCCUCACGCUUCUUCUGUCUCGAUAGAGCCAGACACGGAAGAUGAUUGGGAGAUUCUGAAACUUAAUUUUAAACAAGCAAAAGCUCAAAUUCUCAAUCAGGUUAUGAUUGUUAAUGAAGGGAUAAGGUUUCCUUUGCGUUUGAAUGAUGCUCUUGCUGAUAGGUUUCCUAAGCUUGAGAAGUUGAUGGUUUAG